ACUGGUGCUGGAGGAGGUUCUAAGGGUGCUGGAGGAGGUUCUAUUGGUGCUGGAGGAGGUUCUAUUGGUGCUGGAGGAGGUUCUACUGCUGCUGGAGGUUCUUUUGGUACUGGAGGAGGUUCUACUGGUACUGGAGGAGGUUCUACUGGUGCUGGAGGUUCUUUUGGUACUGGAGGAGGUUCUACUGGUGCUGGAGGAGGUUCUACUGGUGCUGGAGGUUCUAUUGGUACUGGAGGAGGUUCUACUGUUGCUGGAGGAAGUUCUACUGGUGCUGGAGGAGGUUCUA